UACGGAGGGGGCUAGCGUUGUUCGGAAUUGCUGGGCGUAAAGCGCACGUAGGCGGAUAUUUAAGUCAGGGGUGAAAUCCCGGGGCUCAACCCCGGAACUGCCUUUGAUACUGGGUAUCUGGAGGUCGAGAGAGGCGAGUGGAAUUCCGAGUGUAGAGGUGAAAUUCGUAGAUAUUCGGAGGAACACCAGUGGCGAAGGCGGCUCGCUGGCUCGAUACUGACGCUGAGGUGCGAAAGCGUGGGGAGCAAACAGG
rnacentral:rRNA from 1 species